rnacentral:tRNA from 1 species
CCUGGUGGCUCAGAUGGUAAAGCAUUUGCCUGCAACGUAGGAGACCCGGGUUCGAUUCCUGGGUCAGGA